UUUCUUUUUUUAAUUUAUUCCAAUUAAAAAAUCAAAUAAAACUGAAGUUAGAAGAAGGCCGCUGGACAAGUCCUUGGUGUCAUUAUGAGAUGAUGAAUCGGGGAAAACUCGAGUUCUCUCCAGAAAACUAACCUUCCGACAAGAGGAGAGAGAUAGAUCCGACGGGAAGAUAGAGAUCCGGUAAGAGGAGAAAAGGGGGAAUAGAAGAAGCCAUUUAAUAGAUCGAGUCUCAAUAUGUAGAUAACACUACAAGUCCAACAAUGCAAAUGUGAUUUUGGAGUUCUUGGCAAGAGAUUCUUACGGAAAGCGUGCGGCAUUUCACAAGGAAGACCUACCCUGGGAUCUGUGGUGAACGGGAGAAUGCAACAAGCUCGCCACAUUAAUACAAAUUACAAAUCAACCCUGAGUUCUUCAAGCUAUUAUUGAUGGUGACGUUAAUGUUCCAACGAAAGAUGCAAUUAAAAGUAUCGGCAUUGUACAUUUCUGUUAACAUGCUCUUCAGAUACAAGGACAUAUCUGUUUUGUUACAUUCUGAAACAACUUGAGGAUGUUAAGAUUAAAGCAUCCAAAGAAGGUGAUUCCUUGAGGGAGGAGGAUUUAAAGACACAAAUAAAGAACUUGGGAACUGCAGGUUAGGUAGGCUCGUUGGGUGGAAGAGCAGUUGAGCAUUGAAGAACAGAUUUCUAAUCUGAAUAGUUUGGUAGAGGAAAUGUAAGUGAAAGAAGAGAACCUAUGUGAUCAGCCAAGAGAACUUGACAGUGAAGAGAAUGAACCACUAGUAGAAACCAAUACGCUAGUGCAACUGCAUUCCAAAGAUCAGAGAAUCAAAUUCUAGAAUCCAAGUUAUCCGGAUGAGCUGGAUGUGGAAAUCGGGUUGUGUACUUGAGCGAGAGGAAGUACCUUCUUUAUAUGUUCAUGAAGAGAUUGGAAACGGAGAAAGAGAAGCACCAUGAUUAGUGCAACUCGAAGUAGAUUCAUUCAGCAGACAGAAAAACGAUUUGGAAGGCCAAGUUACCUCAUGUUCAACAAACCACCCUGCAAGAGGAAGUAUCAGCUUCAGAUCUGGAACUGAUAGAGAAUAGGAAAUUGCCUUGGCGAGACUCCAUGUCCUAUGAGAAAGCAGAUUUCUUCUGCCAGGAGUAAUCUGUGGGAGCCCAAGGAUUGUAUGCUGAAAGCAGUUAAUGCGUUCUGGGGGUGACUCUACUCAAUGGUGUAUCAUGCAUCAAACGAGAAUCGCAUUUCAAAAUUCCAGGAUGCAAAGAUAUGGGCAUCAGGAAGGAGUGAUACUAGCUCCAUUUCAGGAAAAGUGAUACUUUCAUUUUUGCCUAAAAAUAGGCCAAGUUGAAAAAGUGAAACUAUCACUUUUUCUGAAAAUGGAGGGAACAGUACAUUGCAGAAAUUGCUUUCACUGACGAAGUUAAAGAGAAAAAAGAUAAGAAAUAAUUGUUACUUCAAAUACAAGGUCGACAAGUUAGAGAUAAUGCUAAACAAGGAGCACUAAGAGAAGGCAAAAAUAUCGACGACUCUGUAUGGUGCGAUUUCCGCAGAGAACAGUACGAGCUUCUGAACCAGAUCAAGUCAAAAAUGCUCCAGAGGAGCCAAACAACUCGUUAGACUACAUAACGGAAGCAAAAAAGAAAAAGAAAACAGAACAAACAAAAUAUAGGCAAAAUUUACGGCUCAAGCAAAUCGUCGAAUCAGCAUGGACACAACAAAGAGACUCAGAUUCUUCCUUAAAUCUUCAACUCAGGUUAAUCACAACAGGACAAACAUUAAUGGACUGGAACAAAGACACUUUUGAACAUCUUCUGAAGUUAAUUCGCAAAUCAACAACACAAAUUAAGGUGGCUUAACAUCAAUGUGUUAUUCACAUCGAAGAAGAACAAAUUUUUUGGAUAAAUGGCGAGAAGGAGCUGCGCAAU